AGACCUAUUUGUCGUCGUUCCGCGCACAUUUUCGGUUUCUGCUUUGAUGUUUUUUUUGGUUGACAUUCUGGCGGUGAGCUUCGGAUUUGAGGACUACUUGCUGCUUUUUACAAGGCCGAUGCAUUUAGGCAGUGAAGUUGAAUCAUUCUAUCAUUCUUAAGGCGUUGUUCGCACGAUUUCUAGUCGCAGCUGGCACCGUCGUUACGUGUUGCUUCUGAUUUGUAGGAUUUGAUCAACCUGAAGCACGAAUUGUUAGUUUAACGUCAAUCAGAUGGACGUGUAGAGCGAGAGAAUUUUAUUUCAGUAGUUUUCACGAUUGGAGAUUGGUCGUAAGAUUGUCUUUAGAAGCUUCUUUCAGUUCCUCUGUUCAGAUCUUGCUUUCAAGGAUUGCUAUCCUUGAAUACGUCACGGAUGGGGCAUGAAAUGUAGUUUUUUUCUACGACUGCUCAGCUAUGUCCAAUGUGUAGUAUGUGCUAGAGGAAUUUAGACGUUAGCCACAAUCGUUGCAGGGUUUAAGAGAGUAGCAGUUAGUGACAAUUUCGAGUGGUCGUCUCGGCUGAAACGUGAUCUGCUGACAUGGGAGCCUCUACGGGACAGAGGUUGGAAGAUGUCUGGGUAUCUGCAGCAGGGUUUAGAUUUUCAGCGAGAUUUUAAAGCCAAGCUUCUACUGAAUCUCAUGGUCGUGACAUUGAUAAGUUGACAGAUGAUGAGUUCUCACCACGGUUGUAGCAGUGAGUACUAGUAGAAUUUAAAAACUGUGCAGCAUAUUGUUCUGUGUUUACUUAGAAAUUUCGGGGAGCUAUGGAUGGGGUGGUCGGAGCGCAGCAUACGUUUUCAGAAGCGUUGGAGGCUUUGGGCAAUGUGGAUGUUGAAGAGAACGUGGCGGAGGGGUUGGUGCACGAUGCUCGUGCGGCUGUUGAUGUGUUAUCAGAUGCACUGAAGGGCCUGGAAAAAUCUGUCGCGAACUUGGGCGAUUCUUCCAAUGAACAGGGCGUGGAGAAAAUGCUCAUAUGGGUUGACGCAGUGAAUUGCUCAUGGAGGAAUGUUGUAACAAACCACAAUGGCGUGAGUGUUGCGGAGCGUUUGGGUGACGUUGCUCCCAACUUGUGCGCGAGUUGGCUGGAUGCUCUCAAGGUCCUCGGGUCAUGUGCUGUUGUUGCGAAGGGGUGGAUUUCGAGGCCAUUAGAAGGGGAAUUCGUCGAGGGAGAAUCUAAUGGUGAAUUAUCGAAGCGUAUACCUUUGGUGGAUUGGACGAGUAGCCCAUUUUUGAUUGCUGCAUGGCCAGAGCUCAAGGGCCGGGGAGGGCUGGGUUCAUCCCGUUGGCGUGCUCGCGUUUCGGCGGUGGAGUUUUUAUCGUCUCUCGCAGAAUACGACUUAAUUGGAGAAAAAGUGAAUGAUCAUCGGCUGUCAUUGUUGGAAGAGUUACUUCGGACCCUAAUUUUUAGGAUGGGUCUUGUCGAUUCGCACUGGCAGGUCCGACGAUCUGUUCUUCUUGCCGUGACGCGACUUUUGAUGGCUUCUCUAGAAAUCCUUGCGAAGCAAUUAUGGGCAAGUCUGGCUUGGGGAGUGCUGGCAUUCUGCACGGAUCCCCACACCGAGGUGCAAUUAGCUGCAAAAGAUAUAAUCCUUCAUCAACUUCUUCCUUCUUCGGAAUUGCAUUCGCAAGUGGUAGUACAAAGUCUGCUUGACAGGUUCAUAUCCGCAGUACUGGGAGCAGCAGAAGAUCCUGAUCAUGCUUCGGAUAGCUCUCAAGGGAACGUUACUUUGGUGGCUGCUAUUGUCGCUGCGGUUCAGCUUGAAUUGGUACCUCAUAAAACGGCAUUUGAAGUCCAAGAGCAUGGCAGCAUUAGCGUAGACAGAAUCCCUAUUUUAUUAGUGGCAACUUCUGUAGCUCUCUCAGUUUCUGAAAAAGAAGGCAACAAAGAUUAUUCUGCAAGCCUCUUGCAGCUUAUCAGAUGUUUUAGGUUUUAUCCUGUAUCUCUUUUGAGUAUGUUGAAUCCAAAAAUGGCCCUUUACGAAUGCGAGAAGUUAGCUAAAUAUUGCAAGCGGCGAGGUGUGUUGGAUGAAGUCACGGCUAUGAAAUUGGAGAAAGUGCCUACUGCAGUACCCUUGAAGGCACUUGCAGCUGCAUUAGAGGCAUCAGAAAGCACCAUGAGGAAAUUUUCUGUUGAUGAUGGAUUUCUGGGUAGUAAACAGUUGGAUGCGCUGCAACAUAUAUCUGAGAUGUUGCAUAUCCCUCACCAACUUACAAGAUCCUACAAGGACAAAGCUACUGAGGGAGAGGUUGAGUCUUAUCUGGAAUGUGGAAUGCUACACUUAAAGAUGGCGCUUAUGCUUGUCAAGAACCCAGUUUGGACAGCCCAGCAAGCAUGGCAGAAGACAGACGUCAUACUCGAUAUCUUUUUAAGUUUUUCUGCGUUGGCUUCAGGUAUUAUUGAAUCCGAGGGAGUCUGGGUCGACAAAACAGACAUUUGCAUGCUUUGUAACGAAGUCCUCGCGUGCUUCUCGCAUGCUUUGCAAAUAGAGAGUUCUGUUCGUCAAGAUGAAGCUGUAAACCUAUCAAGUGGAUAUAGCAAUAAGGUGCCAAGUUUAGAAACUCUUGUUCUACGUUUACUACCUGGAGUAUUAUUGAAACUCAAGGAUGUUUUGAAGGCUAGCACCAGAUCCGUUGCUUUGGAGAAGGAAGUAACGGUUCCUAAAAUGGAUGACCUUCCUACUUCUAUAAUUUCUGCUCACCAGUUGAGAUGGUGUCUGGUUCAGAUUCACUAUCCGAAUUUCAAACCUCAAUCUGAGAUAGUUAUACGCACUGCUCUGACUGCACUGGACCAUUACUCACCCCCGAUCAAGAAACAAGGGAUGAAGUCUUUUAUUCACUUAGCCACAAACAUAGACGCUACAGAGUUGUGCUGGUUCAAGGAUGCAAUUUUAGAUGCAGUGACCCGAAGUUUGAUAGGUUGUGAGGAAUUAUGGCCUGUUGCUGUGGAGAUGACGGUCGCUCUGGUAACACGAAUAGAAGGUGGAAACCCUCGAGGGCAAUGGUAUCAAGCAACUAUGAAAGAGAUGUUGGAGGAUCUAGAAAGGCAUAGAAGAGAUCAAAAACGGAGAGUUGUGUGGCUGCAACUUGUCACACCACAGUUUGAAUCCAUGGGAAUCAUGUUGGUGGCUCACUUCAAACGCCUCCUUCCCCUACUCUAUUACUGGCUUCAUGCUCAGGAUGAAGAAACGCAACUUCUGGUUUUGACGAACCUUCGCACUAUUAUCAGAUCUACGUGGCCGCGAAUUCCUUUCCAUGUGUUACGGAUGCAGGAAGAGCUAAUGCGGGUAGAAAAGGAGGGUCGAGAUCGGAAAUCUAGUCCCAAACUGUUUGCUGCAAUUGGUGAUUUGGAAAGGUUACUUCAAUUGUUCACUUUACCUGCCAAGGCCGGCUUCUCCUAAUUGUCGAAUCAUUCGACUUGGCUUCGCACAAUUGAUUUUCCUGUAAUCGAUGUGGAGCAUAUCUUGAGCAGAGCUAUUUUCAAUUGCAGACUGCCGACAGUGGCUGCAUACACAGCCACCAGAAAGAAGAUGGGGACUGGAAGGAUUGCCACUUCAAGGAUGCGUAACCUCCUGCUGCAAUUUUAUGCUGCCAAGACUUAGCAUCAUGAGCCAUUGAAGAAAGUACUAGGUGUAUUCUUGCAAUUACGACAUCAAUCUUUUAACUUAAAUGUGAAAAUCCGGAACAUUUUAUGUAACUGAGUAAUGUACAGAAAAAUGGCUCAGUCUGUUGCAUUCCAAAGGUUUUAAGAUAGAAAAUUCUGACCUGACAAGAAAAAGGACCCUUGAAUGUUAACAAUUACGGAGACGUGCUUUGCCUUU